AGCGCAGCUGCAGAGCCUGGCCUGACCCGGUGCUCUGUGCUGCACUGUGGCAUGGCUGGCUCCAGCCGGGCGGCGCGACUGUAGCGCCAUCAGCCACUGGUGCUCCAGGCAGCACGAUUUUUCUUCAGCACGAGAAGUGCAAGUGGCUGGUGUGUGAAAUUCUCACGGUGCCCAAACAAAGAUUUCCCUAUCAGUCUGUCCACGUCAAGAAUCAGUUACCAACAGGAAUCAGAAGAGAAUAUCUUCCUUCUCUUCCCCUACUACUGCAUCGCACAAUGAGUUUGGGCAUUAUGUGUGUGAGGAAGGGUGUUUGGUUUUCUUGUGAAGAUCAGAUAUCUGACAACCAGAGACAGGACACACAACUUGGACACUUAGUCUGAUCUGAUAUGGUGAAUCUUAAGAUAAAUAUUUUCCCACUUCAGAUUUCCGUUUCUAGAGGUUCUAUCUCCUAAAUGGAAAUAAGUUGCUUCACAGGCAUGAAAAACUAAAUUAACACAAAAAUCUCAACCAUUUUCACCUAAAACAUACUUUUAAAGUAGAUGGCAGUGAUGUUCUUGUUGCUUUGUAUUGCCACUUUGUAUGGUAACGUGUUUUGUUUGGUAAUGAAAUAAGCAGCCUAUUAUUGAAUAGAAGUAUUUUACCACAGGUUUUAUGUAUCUUAUGAAUCUUAAGAUAAAUAUCUGAACAAAAAUGAUAAAAUUAUCAUGAAAAGGCAGAAAUAUUCAAUAAAUAUUUUUCUUCGGUAUUUGGAAAGAGGCUGGAUAGUGUAUUCAUAAUUUACAAUGAUAAUGAAAUGCUCUAUUCUAAUGGUAACUAAAGAACAUGUAAAAGAGCAACUAUUAAUGUUAAACAUUUUUAAGUCUGCAAAAAUGGAUAACUUGCGUCCAAAAAUAUUAAAAGCAGUGAGCUCUCUGAACCAUUAAUGUUGAUCAUUAACAUAUCCUGCAAUACUAAGGAAGCUCCAGAAGUCUUGAAAAAAAGCUAAUGGUGUGCCAAUAAUUUUAAAAGGGCAAAUGGGAUAUCCUGGGAAGCUACAGGCCAGUUAACCUGACAUUGAUCCUGGUCAAAAGCAUGGAAAGGUGGAUACGGGAUGCAAUCAGUAAAGAAUUCAAGGAUGGUAGUAUAACAAAAACCAAUCAACAUGGGUUUAUGAAAAACAAGUCUUGUAAAACAAACAAAAAAAAAGAUCUCUUUGAUGAGAUCACAAGUAUGGAUGAUGAUAAACUGUUGACAUAACCAACUUAGACUUCAGUAAGGUAUUAGACUUAGUCCCUCAUGACACUGUAGUAAAAAAAAGCUCUAUACAACAUCAAUGUCACACAUAUUAAAUGGAUUAAAAAUUGGUUAACUGAUAGAUCACAAAAAAAUUAACUGGGGAAUCGUCCUUGAAUGGUGGUUCUACUGGGGCACCACAUGUAUCUCAGUUCUAUUCUAUUCAGUAUCUUUAUCAAGGAUCUGAAAAAAUAUAAAAUCAUUGCUGGUAAAAUUUGCAGAUGGCAAAAUUAGUAGAGUUUUAAAUAACAAUUGGGAUAGGUCAGUUAUACAGACUAAGCUGGAUCACUUGGAAAGGUGGGCUCAUUUGAACAUCUGUUUUAACACAGCACAAUGCAAGAUCAUACCUCUAGCAACAAAAAGAAAUGGGGGAUUGCUUCCUGAAAACAGACACUGAAAAGGACUUGGCGGAGACAACCAACUAAAUAGGAAACUCCAGUGCAAUGCUUAGCUAAUAGGGCGAAUGUAAUCCCUGGAAAUACAAGCAGAAAAUAUCAGCUAGUGUAGGGAGUUGAUAUUACCUCUCUACACACCGCAUUAGUGAGAUAGACACCAUGUUCUAGUAUCUAAAGAUGUUGAAUAAUUGGAAAGGGCUCAGAAAAGAAUUACAAGAAUGAUUUGAACUCUAGAAAAUAUGCCUUAUAGUUAGAAACUCAACCUAUGUAAGUUUAUCCAAAAGAAGGUUCAGAAAUAACUUAUUCAUGUUGUACAAGUACCUACAUGGGGAAGAGAUUUCUGACAAACUACUUUUUAAUAUAACAGAAAAAAGGCAUAAUGAUAUACAACAGUUGGAAGCUAAAGUUAGGUAAAUUCAGACUAGAAAUAAGGCACCCAGUUUUAACAGCAAGGGUAAUUAAACCAAAAGAACAAUUUACCUAGAGAUGUGAUUCUCCAUCACUAAGUUUCAGUCAAGACAGGAUGUCUUUCUUGAAGAUAUGCUAGAACUCAAACAAAAGUUUUGGACUUCAUGCUAAAAUUACUGGGUGAGGUUUUAUGGCCUGUUAUGCACGAGGUCAGACUAGAUAACCAUAAGGGUCCCUAAAAAUCUAUGACUAGCAAUUAAUGUAUUCCUUACUAAAGUUUCUGACUAACAUUUUAAAAAUCCACACACCUAUCUUUCCUAUUACAAAUUUUAGCCUUAUUGCAAGGAUAAAGAUCUGGAAUACUUAUUUGGGCUCUGGAUUUUAUAACUACUCGAUAAAAAUCCAAUUAUUUUAGUAAGUAAAUGAGGGCUUAGUUGAACUGCUCUGAAGUUUACCUCAUGCACAGUUCUUUAGGUUAUUAUAUAUAAAUCUAGACAUUAAGGUGAAAUACAGAAGUAACUACAAAAUGAAUGCUAAAAGAAAGGCCUUAAAAAGCUGAUUUGAUCUUGAGUAUCCUGGACAAGCUGUAUUGCUAACAAGGAGCAGGAAAACCCUAGGAAAACUCUGAAUUUGGACUUGAGACGCUUCCCUGAAAUUUUUCAGGUAAGCACCAGUUUAGCACU